rnacentral:rRNA from 1 species
UGGGGAAUUUUGCACAAUGGGGGAAACCCUGAUGCAGCGACGCCGCGUGAUUUAGAAGGCCUUCGGGUUGUAAAAAUCUUUUCUAUGGGAAGAAAAUGACAGUACCAUACGAAUAAGGACCGGCUAAUUACGUGCCAGCAGCCGCGGUAAUACGUAAGGUCCGAGCGUUGUCCGGAAUCAUUGGGCGUAAAGGGUACGUAGGCGGAUAAGCAAGUUAGAAGUGAAAUCCUAUAGCUCAACUAUAGUAAGCUUUUAAAACUGCUCAUCUUGAGGUAUGGAAGGGAAAGUGGAAUUCCUAGUGUAGCGGUGAAAUGCGCAGAUAUUAGGAGGAAGACCGGUGGCGAAGGCGACUUUCUGGCCAUAUACUGACGCUGAGGUACGAAAGCGUGGGUAGCAAACAGG